GUGCUCGCUGAGGCAGCAUAUAUACUAAAUUGGAACGAUACGGAGAAGACUAGCACAGCCCCUCUGCAAGGAUGACAUGUGAAUUCAUGAAGCGUUCCAUAUUUAA
ensembl:snRNA U6 U6 spliceosomal RNA